rnacentral:rRNA from 1 species
AUUGAACGCUGGCGGCAGGCCUAACACAUGCAAGUCGAACGAGUGGCGGACUGGUGAGUAAUGUCUGGGAAACUGCCUGAGGGAGCCGGAUAACUACUGGAAACGGUAGCUAAUACCGCAUACCAUCGGAUGUGCCCAGAUGGGAUUAGCUAGUAGGUGGGGUAAAGGCUCACCUAGGCGACGAUCCCUAGCUGGUCUGAGAGGAUGACCAGCCACACUGGAACUGAGACACGGUCCGGACGCCUACGGGAGGCAGCAGUGGGGAAUAUUGCACAAUGGGCGCAAGCCUGGUGCAGCCAUGCCGGGUGUAUGAAGAAGGCCAUCGGGUUGUAAAGUACUUGCAGCGGGGAGACGUUAACAGAAGAAGAAGCACCGGCUAACACCGUGUCAGCAGCCGCGGUAAUAC